UACGUAGGGUGCGAGCGUUGUCCGGAAUUAUUGGGCGUAAAGAGCUCAUAGGCGGCUUGUCGCGUCGGAUGUGAAAGCCCGGGGCCUAACUCCGGGUCUGCAUUCGAUACGGGCAGGCUAGAGUGUGGUAGGGGAGAUCGGAAUUCCUGGUGUAGCGGUGAAAUGCGCAGAUAUCAGGAGGAACACCGGUGGCGAAGGCGGAUCUCUGGGCCAUUACUGACGCUGAGGAGCGAAAGCGUGGGGAGCGAACAGG
rnacentral:rRNA from 1 species